rnacentral:lncRNA from 1 species
AGAGUGUAAACAGCUCAGAUGAGAGUCUGCCUAUUAGGCACUUAAAACAAUAUUGAGACUGAAGAUCUUGUGCCUUUCUUCCAACACAAUUCAUUGAUUCUGCAGUGGAAGUGAUUUUAUUGAUUAGGUAGUCUUUCCUUCUCAAGUCAAGGGAGACAAGCUCAAGGAAGAGAUAAAGUCAAGCAAGCUUGACCCACACUCCUGUGCUUCACAGGGACCCCUGGCCUCAGGCUAGUGCCACCAUCUUCAGGGUGGGUCUCUCAGCUUCAACUAAACCCCCAUGUUGACAUACCCAGAAGCAUGUCUCCCAGGAGAUUUUAAAUCUAGGCAGUGCCUAGAAGGUCUGGAUCAUGGCUGCAUCUUCGUAGCUGUGUUUUCAAAUGAUACAUCAGCAUGCUCCCAUCUCAUGGCAUCACCAGAACCAGCACCAUCCUUCAUGAUCCUCAUACUUCCUGGUUUAGAAGAUCAAAAGCUGCCAAAAAUUGUUUCAAAAGAAAAAUAAAUCUGAGAGAAGUUGAGUUCGGAAUUACAAGGGAGCUUGCCUGUGUCCACUACUCAAGGAGCCAAGUAAGAGGGGCUUGCACUGCAGAGCUGGCCUCUCUUCUCUGUUCCCCGAGCACCUAAGAAGCCCUCACUUAGCCUUAUCUCAUGAAGUCUAAUGAGACUAGUUCCCAAAUUAAACUUCACACAAAUGGAGCAGGCAGGAUCAUUUUCCAAAGAGUGUUUAGAAUAAAUGUCUGUCAGUUCCUGGCUAGCCCUACUUAAAUCUGGAAGAUGAGUUUGCAGACUUAAGAGCUUUGAAUGAAGAACUCAGGCUUCCUUUGGGAUCUAAACUCUGUCUCUCUGAGUCAUUGUUUCUCUCUCUCUCUUACACACACACACACACACACACACACACACACACACAGAGGUACACACACAGACACACACAUACACAAACACACACAUACACAAACACACACAUACACAGACACACACAUACACAGAGAGAGACACACAGAGAGACACACACACACAUACCUAUCACAGGUACCUUUCAGUAUUUCCAUUUUACCUGUUAAGGGUCUGACCAAGGCCAGUGACGCUUCCUAUCUUGACCUGGGAUGGUCACCGGAUUGGGAUCCUUGUCCCUUCAUGUUUCUUGUAGACAUUGAAUUUUGAAGAAGAAUCAGGUCUUAGGAACUAAAGGUAAGACCCUCAUGGGUAGAGAUUGGGCAACUGCUUGAAGACAGAAAUCUAAGAAGGAGGAGAAGAUUCAACACCUCCCAAGAUGUCCUGGGAUGAAGAUGAGAUUGGGUAGAGAACUUCAAGUACAUGGUCCCCACGUCCUAAUGCCUUGGGACUCACUAUUGGAGGUAGAUCUUCCUCCAACCACUAAUUCAGCUGUCUGUAAGAUUCCACACAAAAAAUUAGAUACUAAUAGUUAGAAAAUGCCCAGCAAAACAGUUUAGUGGCAGAAAAAUUAGAAAAUAAUGUCAUAAAUGAAGAAAAAUUAGCAUCAUCUAUAAACCUCUUCCAGUCUGAGAACACAGGGGCAACAUUCAAUAUCAUAUUAAAUUGUGGGUGUGCUCUGAUAUUACAUAUGACAUGCUAGUCAUAUAUACAAAAGCAUGUGUGUGUGUAUGUGCACAGUACAAGCUAUUGCAUGUAUUGAUAAGCCCCACCUUAUGAAAUGUCAGCCUCUGAUUCUUUGAGCUUUCUUUAUAUUGAUGCAAAAGCAGUGACUGUUUGGUGGAAACUCCCAUUCAGUUUUGAAUUUGGACUUUUUUUCUUGGCUGUACUAUAAUAAUCAAAAUUCAACCACUAAUACUAAUUAGUAAUUCCUCC